rnacentral:rRNA from 1 species
UACGAAGGGGGCUAGCGUUGUUCGGAAUUACUGGGCGUAAAGCGCACGUAGGCGGAUAUUUAAGUCAGGGGUGAAAUCCCCAGAGCUCAACUCUGGAACUGCCUUUGAUACUGGGUAUCUUGAGUAUGGAAGAGGUGAGUGGAAUUCCGAGUGUAGAGGUGAAAUUCGUAGAUAUUCGGAGGAACACCAGUGGCGAAGGCGGCUCACUGGUCCAUAACUGACGCUGAGGUGCGAAAGCGUGGGGAGCAAACAGG